ensembl:lncRNA
UGAUGGUGGCUGCUCAGGAAAGACCUAGUGCUCACUUCCACUUUUCCAGGCAGGACAGUGGUGCAGGUCCCCUGGCAGCCUCACGGACAGGGGUAUUCUCCGUCUUUGAUCUUUGCCAAUAUCACAGCCAAAGAGUCUGUCUCAGUGUAGUUUGAGUGGCCACUCUCUGAUUAAAAAGUGAGACUUCAGGCUUCCUUGGUGGCUCCGUGAUAACGAACCCACCUGCCAGUGCCAGACACACAGGUUGGAUCCCUGAUCCCAGAAGAUCCCACAUGCCGCCGAGCAACUAAGCCCGUGAACCACAGCUACUGAAGCCCACGCGCCCUACAGCCCGUGCUCCGCAAUAAGAGCAGCCACUGCGAUGAGAAGCCCGCGCGCCGCAAGUAGAGAGUAGCCCCUGCGCGCUGCGACUGAAGCAAAGCCCACGCAGCGAUGAGGUCCCAGCCCAGCCAAAAAUUAAUUAUUUUUAAAAAGGGAAACUGAGCACUUUUGGUAUGUCUACUGGGGAUGAGAAGGUGAGAGAGCAGAGUGAGCCAGACCUCAAGAAUCCCUCCUUGAGACACUCAGCAUCUUCACCAGAACUCUGGGCAGUGAAGGGAAUUCCUUAUCAUCUCCACUUUACAAAGGAGAGCACAGAGGCCCAGUAAGGAGGUCCGCAGAGCUGCCAGUGCCUGGGUUCCUGCCUGGAGCAAAGCCGCAGGUUUAGGCCCCACGUGGUCUUGAUCCCUUUGCCCCACCCAGCCAGUCAAAGAGGUUAUUACAGGACACUGACUACAGUUCCCUGUGCUCUACAGUAGGCCCUUGUUUAUCGCUUCUAUAUGGAGAGGUAUGUUCACGCACAUGUUAGACAUGAAGACUCAGCUGAUGGUGCUGGCCCCCAGUCAUCCAGCUGAUCAGCAGCCGACCUGGAAUUUGAACCUGGGGCUGCCUGACCCCAGAGAGACAGUGAGGAGAACAAGUGAUAUCUUGGCUCUGAGAUCAGGUUGUCUAGGUUCAAAUCCCUGCUCUGCCACCUGAGCUGUGGGACCACAAGGAAGUCACUUAACUUGUCUGAGCCCUAGGGUCCUCAUCCGUAGAAGGACAAGUACAGUGCCCGCCCCAGUGGGCUACCAGCCGGGGCUGCUGCAGGCUGAAUAGUGGUAGGAGUUUAGUUGCUAAGUCGUGUCCAACCGUUUGUGACCCCAUGGACUGUGACCUGCCAGGCUCCUCUGUCCAUGGGCUUUCCCAGGCAAGAAUACUGGAGUGGGUUGCCGUUUCCUCUUCCAAGUGUCUUCUGCACUGCCGGCGGAUUCUUUACCACUGAGCCACCAAGGACCUCGUAGGCUAAAUAGUGGUUUCCAAAGAUACCCGCCUUCUGAUCCCUGGAGCCUGAGAACGUUAUGUUAUGUGGCAAAAGGGACUUUGCUGAUACGAUCAAGUCAAGAAACCUGAGAUGGAGAGAGAACCCUGCACCAUCCACCAUCGGGGUGGAUCCAGUGCCAAU